UGUGUAGGUGGUUUAAUAAGUUAUCUGUGAAAUCCCUGGGCUUAACCUGGGCAGGUCAGAUGAUACUGUUAGACUCGAGUAUGGGAGAGGGUAGUGGAAUUUCCGGUGUAGCGGUGAGAUGCGUAGAGAUCGGAAGGAACACCAGUGGCGAAGGCGGCUACCUGGCCUAAUACUGACACUGAGGCACGAAAGCGUGGGGAGCAAACA
rnacentral:rRNA from 1 species